GACGAACGCUGGCGGCGUGCUUAACACAUGCAAGUCGAACGGAAAGGCCCUGCUUUUGUGGGGUGCUCGAGUGGCGAACGGGUGAGUAACACGUGAGUAACCUGCCCUUGACUUUGGGAUAACUUCAGGAAACUGGGGCUAAUACCGGAUAGGAGCUCCUGCUGCAUGGUGGGGGUUGGAAAGUUUCGGCGGUUGGGGAUGGACUCGCGGCUGAUCAGCUUGUUGGUGGGGUGGUGGCUUACCAAGGCUUUGACGGGUAGCCGGCCUGAGAGGGUGACCGGCCACAUUGGAACUGAGAUACGGCCCAGACUCCUACGGGAGGCAGCAGUGGGGAAUAUUGCACAAUGGGCGGAAGCCUGAUGCAGCAACGCCGCGUGCGGGAUGACGGCCUUCGGGUUGUAAACCGCUUUCGCCUGUGACGAAGCGUGAGUGACGGUAAUGGGUAAAGAAGCACCGGCUAACUACGUG
rnacentral:rRNA from 1 species